UCCUGGUGCCUUAAAGGCAAGGGAGGGGCUGAGGGGCAUAAAAUGUAUACGUCGGAUAAAAACCUGAAACACAGGAGUGUCCCAGAGGCUUAGCUAAUGUAAGUAACUUUUUACAAAUCUGUGCUUGUCUCCUAGGUGACUUCAGAUCCUGUCAGGUUGAUAAUAAAGCUAGCCAGCACAGAACAGUAAGUCUAGGAGGCAACAGACUUUAACUAAGUAAUAACAGAUUUCCAGGCUCAUUGUGUAACAGAAAUUACAGGUCUGCUCAAUUACACAAAGAAUAUGUUUGUACAAUGGCGGUCAAUCUAGAGACAGAAUAAGAAGUCAACUUCUUUGCUGUCCUCAAAGUACUUCUUCCAAGUCACUUUUUCAAACAUCUGACUUCAUUUUCUUACAGCUAAAUGCCAAGAGAACUGGACAAUUUAGUUAUUCAGAAGAACCAUGUUAUCUCUCAAUGUAUUUGUGUUUUUGUCAAACAUACACUUAAAACUCUUGUUUAAACAUACACAGGAUACAGAGAGCAUCAUGACAUGAGAAAUCCUAUCCUAAAGGGCUCAGCAGAAAGGCAAGAGCAAGGAGCUACUAAACGUUUGUGACGACACAGCAGUGACAGAUGUGCUGAGCAGCGCACAGUUAGCCAUGGGUCAUGUGUGGCCUGUGCAGGCUGCACACACUGAAGAUAUAGAUUUUCAAGCUGAAUCUUCCUUCUUCCCAGAUCUCCAGUGUUUUGCUUUCAUCUUCAUUCAAAAAGAAAACCUUAAAUUGCAAUGAUGUUAUGUUUUAUUCCAAAUACAUUCACUAUGACAACUGCUUUACUUGGUGGUUCCAAAUAUGGGAAUGUAGUCAUUAAAAUCUGGCUAUACCUACUAGAAAAUAGUAUCACCUGAAUAUGGCUUUUUAUUUCAUUAUAGACCCAGCCAGAAUUAGCAGAAAAAUUCCUUUUCUAUGAAAUAUUUGCUACUACUUACAAACAUAACAAAAAUAUGUAUUUGGUAAUAUUCUGAAAAGAAUAUGCCAAUCUAACUGUUCAGGGUAAACAGAAAAUGGUCUUGCAAACCUACAGCCAGACAAGAAAACAAUCUGGUAGUUUUUUUCAUUAAAGGAAACCAAUUUCUACGCCUGAUAACUAGUAAUACUGAAAAACAUGAACCUUCUGGAAACUUGAAAAUAUGAAAUUGUGUAAAAAAAAAAAAGAGCCUUUAUUCUAAAACCAAUAAUUAAUAUGCAGAGUAGUGUGCUGAGAGGUUUUUUUAGUCUAAUAGAAAAACAGAAGGAUGGCAUUAAAUGCAUAGGCUAAAUUAUUAAAUAUUUUCAUAAGCAACUUUGGAAAGUCCUAAGUGCUAUGUAUUUUUCAGGUAGUAUUUACUAAACACAUACUAUGUACCAAGGAGUAAGUGGGACAACAAUAGUCACACUACGCUGUUUAUGGAGAUACAGGGAUAACGGCUCAAAGGCAUUUCCAACUAGCUCCAUCCAAUCUAUUUGUAAGUGUGCACAGGCCUCACCGCAUCACAGUCUAGUGGACUGUUCUCCACUGUUCUCCUGGCUUCAGAUCCAGGGGCCCUUAGGUAUUCCCGUGGCCACACCCUGAAUCGUUUCACCUCUGAAAUGAGUCAGCGUUAGCAACCUCCCAUCUGACUGGGUCUCUGAAACCUUGAUGAAGCACUUGUUCCCUUAAACACAGUCAUUCCUCCAUUUAUCACUUCUGCCUUGGCCGAUCUGCCAUCUGGAUUCCCACAGAAACAUGAUUCACAUACCCCGUCCUCUGGUUCUUUUCCCUCAUUGGUAGACAGAGCAAACCUGGGUCUCAGAGAGCCUGCCUGUUGUAUAAGCUCCUCCCUGCUACCCCAGAGCUUGUGGCUAUCCCUGCCAGGACCUGUGGAUGUUGUUCUUUUACAGUUCUUUCCAUCUCCCCCUCCUAGCUUCCUCACAUGCCCCUUCCUGUGCUGCACAGCUCUCAGGUUCCCACCUCUCCUGUGAACUACCUUAUCUUCCCCAGCAGGCACGCUGCGCUUCUCAGCCACCACUCCUUCAGACUCUCCCCACUUAGCAGGGAGCUUGCUUCCCCCUGCCAUUUGGCAGUGGGUCUGAAGCCAAAACCAGUGGGCAUAUUUUUAAAGUAAAAGACUUCAUUCAGCUACUCAGGCAGCUGGCUUUACCAAGUUUACCUUUCUUCUCAACUUGCUGGAGUAAAACAUUUUAAGUAAAGUUGGAAAUUAUUUUGUAUACUUUUAUUUUGUUAGUCAACAAGUUCUACAACUCUAAAUUCCAAGCUUAUUCUCCCUUCAUGUGAUUACACCCAAUCACAUAUGCUUAUAUAUGAAUAUAUAAACAGUACUGCAUAGUUCUUCAAAUUACUUUCACUCAAAAAAUAAAACAAAUUUAUACUUCAACUUAUAAUUGAAAACUUAUGCUCCCCAAACUGCCUUGUGCUGCCAUGCGGCUAAGUUUACUGUGAUUGUUAUGGACUGUUUAUGACAAGCUCUGACUAUGUCUCUGCUGCCCAGCCCUGCAGCAGAAGGCCCAGCAGGAAGAGGCACAGGAAGGCUUCUUGAUGCUGCCUCACAGUCUAGCUGUUGAAUAGUCUGCCACGCCAGGAAGGCAUGACUCCAGAAAUGUCCUGAUCGGAUGUUACUCUGCAUGCAAAAGGUAUGUCUAUUUUCUCUUAAAAUUUAUAGAGAGCUCAGAAUUCAAGUAGACAGGGAGUUCAUAUGGUAUAGAUCUUUUCCUGCUUAAUCCAAGGGCCUCCAGUGCUCUACCAUGAAGUAAUGCAAAUGUUUACCCAUGUAGUUCCAGCUGGCUUUGGGUGUACAACACAGCCCAGGUUAGCUUCAGAAAUACAAUUUACCUGCCUAUACUUCAUGAGUACCAGGAUUAGAGAUGUGUGCCAGUAAGCCUGACUUAUUCAAUGGAGCUAUUUUGCAUAUACAUAUAUUUGCAAAAAUAGAUUUCAUCAUAUUACUGACUUUCUCGAAGGUAAAACAUGGAAAUCAAAACCAAGAAGACAAUCCUUAUCUUGUGUUUUCAAGAUAAUCUAUGGCACACAAGCAGAAAACUAUAUUGCACAGGUAAAAAAAAAAAAACUAGAAAAGACACUUUUCAUAGUUUGUUACAGUGUUUUACUACUGGUACUGUCCUCUCAAGACCUAGCAUCUGGUGGCUCCAAAAACCUGGGUCAUCUUCAGAUUUGUUAUAUCCAAGAUGUCACCCAAGUAAUUUUUUUGAGUGUUCUUUUCUUUUUCUCUUCUUCCUGCCCAUCUCCUUUCUCUUUCUCUAAGUGAAGCAGAGCCUCAUAUAGCCCAAGCUGGACUUGAACUCCUAUGCCCCUCUUGUCUCAGCCUCCCAAGUGCUAGUAUUACCAUGUCCAGAAACAAGCAUUUUCUAUUGACUGAUGUUAUCCUUAUUUUUGGUUUAUAAAAUAAACAUGAGUAAAACUUGUUUAAUGUAAAACAUAGUUUACUGAAUAAAGACAAAGGUUAUCCUUAUAACCAGGUCAAAUUUUAGAUUUGUUAUCCUCUGCCUCUAAGGACUGUUAAUUUUUUUUUCAUUUGACUAUUAAAAAAAAUUAUGGUCUGUAAAGAUGGCUCAACUGUUAAAUGCCCUUCCAGAGGGCUUGGGUUCAAUCCUCAGCACCCUCAUAGAGUGUCGUUAGUUCUGGUACCAAAGCACCUGAUGGCCCUUUCUGGCCUCCACAGGCACACAAGUGGUUACACGUCGAUACACUCAGGGAAAAUACCCAUACCCAUAAAAUAAACAUUAAAAGUGAGACACUGUUGUUCAUACCUUUGUAAAAUGCAGAAUGGCCCACACCUAAAAGCCCUCUCCUUCUUUAUAGACUAACUUUUCCAAAAUAAAACUGCCACAACCCACAAUCCUCUAAGCACAAUCCUCCACCAUGGCUUCCUAAAGUUCCUUGAUCAAGUUCAAAUUCCAUUAACCAGCAUGCCUUGUGUGCACAGCCUUUUCUCUAAAGAACCUGGACUGCUUCCUGGCUUCAAUCACAGCUGUCUUUGCUACUCUGCCCUUGACUACUUCCUUACACCGUAGCAUUGAUCCUGUAUUUCUUUAGAGAGCUGUGGAUAAUUGACUAUUACAGUUUAUAUGCUUUAAUGCCUUCUAGCUAGACAAAUGACAUCAUCACUGAAGUGAGUUAUGGUCAUAGGACAACACUGUUUUCAUUUACUUUCUAGAUCAAUAAUUCUUUCUUAGCUGUUCAUGCAAUAGUCUCACAUACUUGGAUCUCAAAAGACAGGCACAAACACUACUUUUUUGUUUGUUUAUUAUCCUUACUACAAAUAAUAAAAUGCUUUGAAUGAAAUGCACUCUUUAUGACUUUUAAAUGCAGACUCACUAUUAAUGGAUAUUAAUAUACUGAUACCCAUUUGUGGAAGGGAAGAUGAAUAAGAGGCAAUUUGUUUUUAAAGAAAUGAACAGGAAGAUGAACUUAACAUAGCAGAAACUACCCGUUGGCUGUAUUUCACAGCACCAUAAAGUAAUAUGUAGUCUGCUACAGGAGAAAAAGACAUGAAGAUCUUACCCAAGAGCUGAACCCUACAGGUCACAAUGCACGAAGCUCCAAUGGUGGCAUAGCUGUUCUGGGAGUAAGCAACUGCUCUGAGCUUCCACAAAGAGGGAGUCAUGCUUGCUACUGUAAAACUGGUCAAAAGCCGAUGGUUUGGGAGGUUACAGGCCCCUGGGGAAAAUCGACUACUGUUGUUUUGCUAAUGUUUAUAUUGUUAAAUGGCUAAGUAUUUAUGUUUAUACUCAUAGAUUAGUGUAGCUCUGAACCCCAGCCAAAGAAGAGUUUUAUAAUAGACAACAGUGAAUACAGAGACCCACAUUAGUCCAAUGCUGAGAAUACGUACUGCUGAAUGCUCACUCCUAAAUGGAUCAUCUAUGUCACCCCCAACCUCCAGGCUCAGGAAUAUCAUAGACGAGGAGGCAGAAACCCUGUGAGGGCUGCAACUCUCUACUGUCACCUAGCAUGGCCUGGCUGUUGCACUCAUGAGCUCAAAGGCAGCUAUGGUUCACCUUUACAGUGGAUGCUAAGUCCGCACUGCAGAACAGGUCAGGGAGGAGCUCAAGGCCCCAAGACCAGUUAGGACUGCGAGGAAAGGGAAAGCCAGCUUCUCCCACGCCGUGGUCCCACAUGAGCCAUGCUCCAGUGCACGACCCAGAUGGGGAUGGACAAUAAUAACUACGCACUCUAAGGCUCUUUUUCUUUGUUGUUUUUUGUUUUGUUUUUUUAAGGAAAAUGAAAGUAGAAAAGGGACAUGACAAGAGAGUCUAGGCAGGAGAAAGAAAACAGGGGAAGUGGAUAUGAUAAAGAUACAAUAUAAUGUAUAUGAAAUUGUCAGAAUAAACACACAUUUUUUUUAACUGCACAUGUAAAAUAUAGAAAGUCAGGGCAAAACCAGUCUGUCUUUUAAAAAAAUUCCCAAAGAAUUUCAGAUAAAUAAAUGUCACUGAAAGUACUAAACGCCCGAGAAGUUUUCAUUUGAAGAGUUUUUCUUUUUUCUUUUUUUGUUUGUUUUUGAGUUUUUGAGAUAAUUGCCCUGGCUGGCCUAGAGCUGACUUUGUAGACCAGGAUGGCCUUGAACUCAGAGAGAUGUGCCUGCCUCUCCCUCCCAAGUGCUGAGAUUAAAGGCAUGCACCACCUAGCCCAGCUCUUAAUGAAAGUUUCAGUAAGUAACAGGGCACAGAAAGUGUUUUCAGUAAUUGAUAAUGUUAAGUUGCUUCCUUACAGCUCUCUAUUUCAGUCAUAUGAGUGUUUUGCCUGCAUGCAUGUCUGUGCACUAUAUGCACGUCUGCUGCACGCAGAUCAAAUCCCCCCAGAGCUAGAGUUAUGGAUGGUUGCGAGUCACCAUAUGGCAAUUAGAAAUCAAGCUUGGGCUCUCCAGGAGAAUAGCCAGUGUUCUAACUGCUGAGCCAGCCCUCUAACCCAGGUCAAAUAUUUAAUAAAGAUAGUUUAUUAUCAAAUAUUAAGUUUUGAUAUAGAUGUUCUAGUCAUAUAUUGAAAUAAAGUGACAAACUAAGAGGUAUUAUUUUUUAAUUAAAACUAAUAAGUGGGUUUAUAAGUAAGGAAGCGUUUAUGAUUCUGUGUUCUGCCAAAGAUAUUUUACCAUUAUUACAUUACAGAUAUAAACUUCAAAAUAAUUACCUACAGUCUUUACAUUUAAAACCAAAUUUAUUUAACAACUGUUUAGUCUAAAAAUAAGAAAUAUCUUAAUUAAAAAACAAACAAACAAACAAACCUGUUCAAUCUAACCUUGGCUAUUGAGAACAGUUCUGCUCCCCUAAAAUACAGAUGCAUAAACUGGGCCUCAAAAAAGUGGGGGAAAAACAAGUCAUUUAAAUAGUCCGAUUCCAAACCUACGGGUUCUGUAUGAAGAUCUCUAUCACACGCUUUCUUCAUUUGAUGAGAACCUAAUCUACUCUAGUAAACAGACAAAAUUUGAAAGAAAGAAAAAGAGAAUUGAAUAGACAGACUAGAGCAAAAAGACGUAAAGAGUCCACUCUCUAGGAUACAUUCUGCCUUCUAGCUCAUCAAGUAACUCUGCUGUCUCUUCUUACACAGGAGCCAGCACCCACAGUGCACAGUGGCCAGGAGCCAGCACCCACAGUGCACAGUGGCCAGGAGCAGAGGCCAGGGAGGGAAGGCCUGCACGAGGAGUGGCAGGGUCCCCACACCCCCUCAGGUAGAGACCUGCACGAGGAGUGGCAGGGUCCCCACACCCCCUCAGGUAGAGACCUGCACGAGGAGUGGCAGGGUCCCCACACCCCCUCAGGUAGAGACCUGCACGAGGAGUGGCAGGGUCCCCACACCCCCUCAGGUAGAGACCUGCACGAGGAGUGGCAGGGUCCCCACACCCCCUCAGGUAGAGACCUGCACGAGGAGUGGCAGGGUCCCCACACCCCCUCAGGUAGAGACCUGCACGAGGAGUGGCAGGGUCCCCACACCCCCUCAGGUAGAGACCUGCAUGAGGAGUGGCAGGGUCCCCACACUUCCUCAGGUACUGAAACACUUAUUUCUCCAACUGAAACAACUUCUCUUUUUAAUCGUUGAAACUGUUUUAUAACGGAUAAGUAAAUUCAAAAUAUUUUCUUUUGACUUCUGGGUCACCUGAAAAGACCAUCAUAUCUUUGAUAGAUUUAUUGUCAUUUUGUGUAUUUCCUACAGUAAACAGGAACGACAAUCCGGUAGUUUAAGAAAAGUGUUGGUUGGUUUUUUAUUUUGUGUGAAUUUUCUACUAAUGUGGUUAACUGCACAAGGUAAUAAAAAAUACUUUUUUGGU